AACGAACGCUGGCGGCAUGCCUAACACAUGCAAGUCGAACGAGACCUUCGGGUCUAGUGGCGCACGGGUUCGUAACGCGUGGGAACCUGCCUCUAGGUUCGGAUUAACUCAGAGAAAUUUGAGCUAAUACCGGCUGAUGUCUUCGGACCAAAGAUUUAUCGCCUUUAGAUGGGCCCGCGUUGGAUUAGCUAGUUGGUGGGGUAAAGGCCUACCAAGGCGACGAUCCAUAGCUGGUCUGAGAGGAUGAUCCGCCACACUGGGACUGAGACCCGGCCCAGACUCCUACGGGAGGCAGCAGUGGGGAAUAUUGGACAAUGGGCGAAAGCCUGAUCCAGCAAUGCCGCGUGAGUGAUGAAGGCCUUAGGGUUGUAAAGCUCUUUUAACCGAGAUGAUAAUGACAGUAUCGGGAGAAUAAGCGCCGGCUAACUCCGUG
rnacentral:rRNA from 1 species